CAGUAGGGAAUCCUCCACAAUGGGCGCAAGCCUGAUGGAGCAACACCGCGUGAGUGAAGAAGGGUUUCGGCUCGUAAAGCUCUGUUGUUAAAGAAGAACAUAUCUGAGAGUAACUGUUCAGGUAUUGACGGUAUUUAACCAGAAAGCCACGGCUAACUACGUGCCAG
rnacentral:rRNA from 1 species